UCGUUGUUUGGUACAGAUCCUCGUAAAAAUCCCACUAUAAUCAUUUUAAUUUAAAGCUGUAUUAGUAGUCAAUGGAAAUGAGAAUAACGACACAAACAUGAUCAUUCCUUUCAAUAUCGUGAAUCAUAUUGCAAUAUCAGUCAAAAUAAUCGCAAUUAGAUUGAUUUCUCACAUCGUGAAGCCUUACCUUAGAGCAGACAAAUGCAGUUUCAUCGAUUUCUUUGACUUUUGCUCGAAAGAUCGUAAAAAAAAACCUAUCUUUCAAACUCUUUGAAAGCAGAGUGUCACACUUACUACGGUCCUAUGUACACCUCUUCAACAUUUAGAAAAAACCAAA